rnacentral:lncRNA from 1 species
CUUCAGCGACCACGUAGACGCCGGCCACCACAUCGCGCAACCAGCCACGAUCUCGCCGUCAGUCACCCAAGGCCACCAUUCACGACCAUCAACACCGAGAAACCCAGCUUUGCCACGAUCCCAACCGGAACUGUCAAAAGGCACGCAUACCUCCAUCGUUCUCGCACACCACGCUAGUUCGCCAUUGCCGCCGCCACCAUCCUCGCUGCCUAAGACCGCCGUCACCAUCUCAACGCACCAUCGUUCUCGCGCAACAAGUGCCCAAGGCACCGUGAAACCACGCAACAUCGGACCACCAACCACUAUCUUCUUUGCGAGCGAGCCGCCGCCACAGAGACCAAAUCGCAACCUUUAGAAAACCCAGAAACACAGAAUCCGCACUAUCUCCACACGCCGUAGAACCCAGAAUCGCGAAUCCUUUUCCUCCAUGGCAAUCACGUCGCCGGCCACCAUUACGCAACAAGCAGAUUCAUUCAUCGAAACCUGCAAUCAAAGCCAGACCUGCAACGAGAAAAAUCCACAGAAAACCCAGAGAACGAAACGCCUCUCCCAAUCUCGCGCAGCAGGCGAAGAUAGAAUGGAGCCCCCAAAUCCCUUUACCCCCAAUCUGAAACCCUAAUUUUGGGUGGGGAAGGAAAGGACACGUGGCAGCAUUCCAUUGACACGUCCAUUUGAUUAAACCUUGUCAAAGUCUGGUCAACUGAGGGGUUCUGUUGCAAUUUUGAAGAAUUCUGGAGGGACUAAAGUGCAGAUAUAGGAAACUUUAGGGUAUUUGUGCAAUUUUGGAAAUUCAGAAAAGUUUAAAGAUAAAAUUCAGUUGUUGAAUUAAUUUGGGAAUAUCAACAGAAAAUAUCUUCCAAAUAAUGUUAUAAUUAUCUAAAUCUUUUAGUUAUUUGGAAGAUAUAAGAUAAAAGAUUGUAUCAACUGAAUAUCCAGAGUCCAAGCCCAAUCAAGCCUAUAUAAAGAGACCCAGGGGAGACACAAAGGACACCAUUCAUUCAUCCAUUCAUCCAUCACUGCUCUUACUCUUCUUUCAUUAUGUGUUUCUAAGCUCCUAGGGCUAUUCUGCUGUAAUUUCAUUAUGGAUUCUGAGGUUAAGUGAAUUAAUGCAAUUGUUUAUUUUGAUUAUUGAUUUAAGUUUAUCUCUUUCUAUGUCUUUCAUCUCUCUAUCAUAUUAAAAGCAAAGAUUUUUGCAUCAUUAUGUGUUUGAAUAU